AAAAACCUUGAGAUCUUUAAAAAUCCACAUAAAUGAGCAUAUCAGAAAUCUAAGAAAAGGUUUUCCAAACCACAGUGUCUCUAAACAUUUUUCAGAAGUGCACCAAUCUAACCCUAAAGAGUUAGAGUUCAUGGCUAUCCAAAAAGUUUCAAAUAACUGGAGAGGUGGGGAUAAUGCCCUUAAUCUUAGUAAAAAAGAAAGUGCUUGGAUUUUUGAUUUACAGACAUUGCACCCUAAGGGAUUAAAUUUAGAUUUU